rnacentral:rRNA from 1 species
GCCCAGUGACCCAUGUUCAACGGCCGCGGUAUCCUAACCGUGCGAAGGUAGCGUAAUCACUUGUUCUUUAAAUGGGGACUAGUAUGAAUGGCAUCACGAGGGUUACACUGUCUCCUUUUUUAAAUCAGUGAAACUAAUCUCCCCGUGAAGAAGCGGGGAUGAGACUAUAAGACGAGAAGACCCUAUGGAGCUUUAAACCUCCCUUCAAGUGCCAGAUACCUCCUCUCUAGUUACACUUACUCAAGCACUGUGAAGUUAAGUUUUAGGUUGGGGUGACCGCGGGGUACAAAAAAACCCCCACGUUGAACUAGGCCUCCAAACCUUGAGCAAUGGGCUACAACCCUAUGCACAAAAAAAUUUACAUCUAUUGACCCACUAAUUUGAUCAACGAACCAAGUUACCCUAGGGAUAACAGCGCAAUCUACUUCAAGAGCUCCUAUCGACAAGUGGGUUUACGACCUCGAUGUUGGAUCAGGGUGUCCCAGUGGUGCAGCCGCUACUAAUGGUUCGUUUGUUCAACGAUUAAAACCCUACGUGA